rnacentral:rRNA from 1 species
UCAGGACGAACGCUGGCGGCGUGCUUAACACAUGCAAGGUCAACGGGAGUAUCAAAGAAGCUUGCUUUUAAGAUACUUUAGUGGCGGACGGGUGAGUAACGCGUGAGGAGCUGUCCUAUGCAGGGGGACAACAGUUGGAAACGGCUGCUAACACCCCAUAAGCCGAGAGGUAAAAGGGAUUAAUCCGGCAAAAGGAGGCGCUCGCGUCCUAUCAGCUAGUAGGUUGGGUAACGGCCGACCUAGGCGAAGACGGGUAGCCGGCCUGAGAGGGCGAACGGCCACACUGGAACUGAGAUACGGUCCAGACUCCUACGGGAGGCAGCAGUGGGGAAUAUUGGGCAAAAUGGGGGGAACCCUGACCCAGCGACGCCGCGUGGGUGAAGAAAUCCUUCGGGAUGUAAAGCCCUGUUGUAUGGGAAGAGUAGAAGACGGUACCAUACGAGGAAGCCCCGGCAAACUACGUGCCAGCCGCGGC